rnacentral:miRNA from 1 species
ACAUGCAAAAUUGACCCGGGUU